rnacentral:rRNA from 1 species
GGUUUUAAAUUAUAAAGAAUAAAAUCCUUGUAAUAAAACUAAAAGGACGCGGUAACCUUGACCGUGAUAAUGUAGCAUAAUCACUCGCCAUUUAAUUGAUGGAUAGUAUGAAUGGUUGAACGAAUAUUUCACUGUCUUAAAAAAAAACAAAUAAAAUUAAAAUAAUAGUUAAGAUGCUAUUUUAAACUGUAAGACGAAAAGACCCUAUAGAGCUUAACUAUAAUUUUCUUUAAAAAUAAAAAAUAAUAUUUUUUAAUUAAGAAAAUUGGUAGUUUAGUUGGGGCGACUACCUUCUAUAUAGAACGAAGGUAAGCAAAGUUAAUAAAAAACUUAUUAUAUAAGUAAAAUAUUUAAUAAUUACAAAAGUAGGCUAUAGUGACCCGUUAGUUUCUAAUAAAAAAUCUAACGAUCAAUUAAUAAAAGCUACCUUAGGGAUAACAGGAUAAUUUCAUUCUAGAGUUCAUAUCGAAGAUGAAGUUUGUCACCUCUAUGUUGAAUUAA